GGAUUGUGGCUCAGUGGUAGAGCGCUUGUGCUUGGCAUGCACGAGACCUGGGUUUGAUUCUCAGCACCA
rnacentral:tRNA from 1 species